GAAGAUAUAUUUCAACGGAAAGAAAGUACGUUUUGCAAAAUAUAAGGUUAGUGAUUCGAAUCCAAUUAUCUCCA
rnacentral:tRNA from 1 species